UACGUAGGUGGCAAGCGUUGUCCGGAAUUACUGGGUGUAAAGGGAGCGCAGGCGGGAAGCCAAGUCAGCUGUGAAAACUACGGGCUUAACUUGUAGACUGCAGUUGAAACUGGUUUUCUUGAGUGAAGUAGAGGUUGGCGGAAUUCCGAGUGUAGCGGUGAAAUGCGUAGAUAUUCGGAGGAACACCGGUGGCGAAGGUGGCCAACUGGGCUUUAACUGACGCUGAGGCUCGAAAGUGUGGGGAGCAAACAGG
rnacentral:rRNA from 1 species